rnacentral:rRNA from 1 species
UUAAGCGACUAAGCGUACACGGUGGAUGCCCUGGCAGUCAGAGGCGAUGAAGGACGUGCUAAUCUGCGAUAAGCGUCGGUGAGGUGAUAUGAACCGUUAUAACCGGCGAUUUCCGAAUGGGGAAACCCAGUGUGUUUCGACACACUAUCAUUAACUGAAUCCAUAGGUUAAUGAGGCGAACCGGGGGAACUGAAACAUCUAAGUACCCCGAGGAAAAGAAAUCAACCGAGAUUCCCCCAGUAGCGGCGAGCGAACGGGGAGGAGCCCAGAGCCUGAAUCAGUGUGUGUGUUAGUGGAAGCGUCUGGAAAGGCGCGCGAUACAGGGUGACAGCCCCGUACACAAAAAUGCACAUAUUGUGAGCUCGAUGAGUAGGGCGGGACACGUGGUAUCCUGUCUGAAUAUGGGGGGACCAUCCUCCAAGGCUAAAUACUCCUGACUGACCGAUAGUGAACCAGUACCGUGAGGGAAAGGCGAAAAGAACCCCGGCGAGGGGAGUGAAAAAGAACCUGAAACCGUGUACGUACAAGCAGUGGGAGCCUCUUAAUGGGGUGACUGCGUACCUUUUGUAUAAUGGGUCAGCGACUUAUAUUCUGUAGCAAGGUUAACCGAAUAGGGGAGCCGAAGGGAAACCGAGUCUUAACUGGGCGUUAAGUUGCAGGGUAUAGACCCGAAACCCGGUGAUCUAGCCAUGGGCAGGUUGAAGGUUGGGUAACACUAACUGGAGGACCGAACCGACUAAUGUUGAAAAAUUAGCGGAUGACUUGUGGCUGGGGGUGAAAGGCCAAUCAAACCGGGAGAUAGCUGGUUCUCCCCGAAAGCUAUUUAGGUAGCGCCUCGUGAAUUCAUCUCCGGGGGUAGAGCACUGUUUCGGCAAGGGGGUCAUCCCGACUUACCAACCCGAUGCAAACUGCGAAUACCGGAGAAUGUUAUCACGGGAGACACACGGCGGGUGCUAACGUCCGUCGUGAAGAGGGAAACAACCCAGACCGCCAGCUAAGGUCCCAAAGUCAUGGUUAAGUGGGAAACGAUGUGGGAAGGCCCAGACAGCCAGGAUGUUGGCUUAGAAGCAGCCAUCAUUUAAAGAAAGCGUAAUAGCUCACUGGUCGAGUCGGCCUGCGCGGAAGAUGUAACGGGGCUAAACCAUGCACCGAAGCUGCGGCAGCGACACUAUGUGUUGUUGGGUAGGGGAGCGUUCUGUAAGCCUGUGAAGGUGGCCUGUGAGGGUUGCUGGAGGUAUCAGAAGUGCGAAUGCUGACAUAAGUAACGAUAAAGCGGGUGAAAAGCCCGCUCGCCGGAAGACCAAGGGUUCCUGUCCAACGUUAAUCGGGGCAGGGUGAGUCGACCCCUAAGGCGAGGCCGAAAGGCGUAGUCGAUGGGAAACAGGUUAAUAUUCCUGUACUUGGUGUUACUGCGAAGGGGGGACGGAGAAGGCUAUGUUGGCCGGGCGACGGUUGUCCCGGUUUAAGCGUGUAGGCUGGUUUUCCAGGCAAAUCCGGAAAACCAAGGCUGAGGCGUGAUGACGAGGCACUACGGUGCUGAAGCGACAAAUGCCCUGCUUCCAGGAAAAGCCUCUAAGCAUCAGGUAACAUCAAAUCGUACCCCAAACCGACACAGGUGGUCAGGUAGAGAAUACCAAGGCGCUUGAGAGAACUCGGGUGAAGGAACUAGGCAAAAUGGUGCCGUAACUUCGGGAGAAGGCACGCUGAUAUGUAGGUGAAGCGACUUGCUCGUGGAGCUGAAAUCAGUCGAAGAUACCAGCUGGCUGCAACUGUUUAUUAAAAACACAGCACUGUGCAAACACGAAAGUGGACGUAUACGGUGUGACGCCUGCCCGGUGCCGGAAGGUUAAUUGAUGGGGUUAGCGGUAACGCGAAGCUCUUGAUCGAAGCCCCGGUAAACGGCGGCCGUAACUAUAACGGUCCUAAGGUAGCGAAAUUCCUUGUCGGGUAAGUUCCGACCUGCACGAAUGGCGUAAUGAUGGCCAGGCUGUCUCCACCCGAGACUCAGUGAAAUUGAACUCGCUGUGAAGAUGCAGUGUACCCGCGGCAAGACGGAAAGACCCCGUGAACCUUUACUAUAGCUUGACACUGAACAUUGAGCCUUGAUGUGUAGGAUAGGUGGGAGGCUUUGAAGUGUGGACGCCAGUCUGCAUGGAGCCGGCCUUGAAAUACCACCCUUUAAUGUUUGAUGUUCUAACGUGGGCCCCUUACCGGGGUUGCGGACAGUGUCUGGUGGGUAGUUUGACUGGGGCGGUCUCCUCCUAAAGAGUAACGGAGGAGCACGAAGGUUGGCUAAUCCUGGUCGGACAUCAGGAGGUUAGUGCAAUGGCAUAAGCCAGCUUGACUGCGAGCGUGACGGCGCGAGCAGGUGCGAAAGCAGGUCAUAGUGAUCCGGUGGUUCUGAAUGGAAGGGCCAUCGCUCAACGGAUAAAAGGUACUCCGGGGAUAACAGGCUGAUACCGCCCAAGAGUUCAUAUCGACGGCGGUGUUUGGCACCUCGAUGUCGGCUCAUCACAUCCUGGGGCUGAAGUAGGUCCCAAGGGUAUGGCUGUUCGCCAUUUAAAGUGGUACGCGAGCUGGGUUUAGAACGUCGUGAGACAGUUCGGUCCCUAUCUGCCGUGGGCGCUGGAGAACUGAGGGGGGCUGCUCCUAGUACGAGAGGACCGGAGUGGACGCAUCACUGGUGUUCGGGUUGUCAUGCCAAUGGCACUGCCCGGUAGCUAAAUGCGGAAGAGAUAAGUGCUGAAAGCAUCUAAGCACGAAACUUGCCCCGAGAUGAGUUCUCCCUGACCCUUUAAGGGUCCUGAAGGAACGUUGAAGACGACGACGUUGAUAGGCCGGGUGUGUAAGCGCAGCGAUGCGUUGAGCUAACCGGUACUAAUGAACCGUGAGGCUUAACCUU